rnacentral:rRNA from 1 species
ACUCCUACGGGAGGCAGCAGUGGGGAAUAUUGCACAAUGGGGGAAACCCUGAUGCAGCCAUGCCGCGUGUGUGAAGAAGGCCUUCGGGUUGUAAAGCACUUUCAGUAGGGAGGAAGGUAGUGUAGUUAACACCUGCAUUAUUUGACGUUACCUACAGAAGAAGCACCGGCUAACUCCGUGCCAGCAGCCGCGGUAAUACGGAGGGUGCGAGCGUUAAUCGGAAUUACUGGGCGUAAAGCGCAUGCAGGCGGCCUGUUAAGUCAGAUGUGAAAGCCCGGGGCUUAACCUCGGAAUUGCAUUUGAAACUGGCAGGCUAGAGUCUUGUAGAGGGGGGUAGAAUUUCAGGUGUAGCGGUGAAAUGCGUAGAGAUCUGAAGGAAUACCAGUGGCGAAGGCGGCCCCCUGGACAAAGACUGACGCUCAGAUGCGAAAGCGUGGGGAGCAAACAGGAUUAGAUA